CUUCCCUCCCAGAGCCCAUUUAUUUUUAAGCCACCCUCUCCCCUCCACUACAGUGUGAUGGCUUCUCCAUGCUAAUCGCCCUAUAGAACAAGGAGAAAAGGAAAGUCUCCGGUAUGUCAUUAUCAGCAGUGUGAAAAUGGACUCACUCCCACCCUGUCUGGAUCUGGACAAGAGCCCACCACCCCGUUGGCAGUAGUCAGGCAGCUCUGCUUCUAAGAACCUGCAGCUUUUGGAAGAAAGGCACCCUGUGGUUUCAGAAGCCCAAGAGUCCCUGCAGCUCAGCACCCCCAGCCUGGUGCUUGGCAGAUGACUGCCUCCUCACUUAGCAGAGGGAGCAGAAAACUGUGUAUUCUUCAGAACAUCAUGAUAACCUGGCACUCAUGGGUCUAUGGAGAGAAUUCAGGGGGUCUGGGAGCUUGGAUGGAAUAAAUUUGCAUCUUUAUUUUCAGGAAAGUUUUACUGAAGUUUAGCAUUUUCUUUCAUUAUAAAUGGAAUCAGUAUAACCCAAUAGUAUGAGCAGUUACUUCUCCGCAACAUCAAAGUGGCUGCAGAUAUCUCAAAAUAGUAUUUACAUUUAUCAUAACUUAGAAAUUUGGGUGGUAAUUAAACCAGCAACUAUUCUUUGUUUAAUGCAUUAAGAAAGAAGUAUGUAUACUAUCAUAUCUCAAUUAAAAAUAUUUUAAG
rnacentral:lncRNA from 10 species